rnacentral:rRNA from 1 species
GGAUCGCAGUCUGCAACUCGACUGCGUGAAGCUGGAAUCGCUAGUAAUCGCGCAUCAGCCAUGGCGCGGUGAAUACGUUCCCGGGCCUUGUACACACCGCCCGUCAAGCCAUGGAAGUCUGGGGACCUGAAGACGGUAACCGCAAGGAGCCGUUAAGGGUAAAACAGGUAACUAGGGCUAAGUCGUAACAAGGUAGC